CCGUUUUGAGGCUGGGGGUGGAGGCGCGAUCUGUUUAGAGGAUCAGUACUCAGUUCCUUACCUUACAGCGUACACAGUCCUGUACAUAGUUUAGACAGGAAGUUGGAAGUAUUAUUGGGAAGAAAGGGGAGAUAGUUAAACGGAUUCGAGAACAGAGCAGUGCAAGGAUAAAUAUUACCGACGGAUCCUUCCUUGAACGUAUUGUUAGUGUCAUUGGGACAAAUCAGAGCCUUCAGAAGG